rnacentral:tRNA from 1 species
UAUGCCCGAGGCGGUGGCCGUGGCGCUUUCGCGGGUUCCCGGUCCGCGCCGGACCAGUUCGCCGAGGGUUCGGCGCACUCCGGGCUCGU